CUCCACCUCCCAGAAGGUCUGGAUUUAGACCAGAGACUGCCACAGGCAAAGGGGUGGGACUCUGAUCGCUACGCGGAUGUGGCUCCAAGCUUUCAGAGCCUGUUAGCCCAUCCCCCGAGAUGCGGCGCUGGAGGAUGAUCAAACUUUGCCAGGACUGCAAGGGAAGAAUGCCGACAAUCAAAUAUGUGAUUGGUUGUAGAAGAUGGGGCUGUAGGUAAGACCUGCCUUGUCAUCAGUUAUACAACAAAUGCCUCUCCUGAGGAGUAUAUCCCCACCAUCUUUGAUAACUGUAGCACCCAGACAUCUGUGGAUGGCCAAAUUGUUAGCCUGAAUCUGUGGGACACUGCUGGCCAAGAGGAAUAUGACCAACUGCAAACACUGUCCUACUCUUAAGACCAACAUUUUUCUCAUUUGUUUUUCCAUUGGCAACCCAUCCUUUUAUGCCAAUGUGAGGCAUAAGUGGCAUCCAGAGGUCUCCUAUCCUUGCUCCAAUGUACCUGUUCUGCUGGUAGGCACCAAAAGGAACCUGCAGAACUACCCUGAGACAAUGAAGAAGCUGAAGGAGAAAAGCCUAGUGUCUACAACUCCUCAACAAGGCAGUGCCCUGGCUAAGCAGGCACUUCCUACUUUAGGAACAGAUCACUCAAGGUUAACCCCCUAAAUAAAACAAAAACAAAAUAAACAAAUUGACCUGUCAAUCAUUGUCUGGGAAUUCUGUGCUUUCCUCUGAGAGUCUUCUUCUGUCUCUUAUUGUGCUUAGCUGUUCUGAGUGUAUGAGACAGUGAGAAAGUGAGACAGUCUCACUUGUUGUCCUUACCACCUCAGUACAUCUUCCUAUUUAUUCAUCCCUGAGUGCUUUUUGAUUGUUCCAACCCUUGUGAUUGCUCCAAGUUCAAUCUGUACAUCCACACCCUCAGGCUGUCCCCUUUGUGGUGAUAAAGGACUUCAAGCUUUGCUAGAGUUGCUCAGCUUGCCAUUUCUCAGUGGGCCUCCUUCUCUUUGUCCUCCCUAGUCAUGUUUUUUACUUUCGUUUGAUAUGGAAGGAAAAUUUCUUCACUGGGCAAAUAGUGGUUGAUAACACCACUGUGCACACAUACUCCUGCCCUGCCAAAUAGCACUGAGUUUUUGAGAAUGGGGGAACCGAAGCUAU